UUAUAGGCUAUGACAAAGAGUAGUAAGGUAGUACAAGGUUUUCAGAGAGUUUGUGGUUGCUGCGAACAAACAGCCCGUAUACCUGAAUGGACUUUUAAGCCUCCUGUAGGAAAAAUGACAGUAUGACAGGACGUUUGCCCGCGUUACUGGGCAAGAAUAUCUUUUUGGAUAUUCCUGAGUGGUUUAUGUAUAGAACGUAAACAAUUAGGGUGGUACCGCGAAUCCCAUUCGUCCCUUUU
rnacentral:ncRNA from 1 species